GCAUCCCCAUGGAUUUCAGUGAUCAAGUGACACACAUCAUAAGUUUUUUGAUUAGUUUCCAAAUUUUUUGCUGCACAUAUAUUCUUCAAAGCAAGAUUAAGAGUGUGCACAACACAAGGAGUCCAAUAAAUAUGUGGAAACAUUCCCUCAAUGAUUUCUCCAGCACCUUUACAAUUUGAAGCAUUAUCAGUAAUGACUUGUACCA
rnacentral:misc_RNA from 1 species